rnacentral:rRNA from 1 species
AUUGAACGCUGGCGGCAGGCCUAACACAUGCAAGUCGAGCGAGCGGCGGACGGGUGAGUAAUGUCUGGGAAACUGCCUGAUGGAGGGGGAUAACUACUGGAAACGGUAGCUAAUACCGCAUACCAUCAGAUGUGCCCAGAUGGGGUUAGCUAGUAGGUGGGGUAACGGCUCACCUAGGCGACGAUCCCUAGCUGGUCUGAGAGGUUGACCAGCCACACUGGAACGUGUGCACGGCCCAGACUCCUACGGGAGGCAGCAGUGGGGAAUAUUGCACAAUUGGCGCAAGCCUGAUGCAGCCAUGCCGCGUGUAUGAAGAAGGCCUUCGGGUUGUAAAGUACUUUCAGCGGGGAGGCGUUACCCGCAGAAGAAGCACCGGCUAACUCCGUGCCAGCAGCCGCGGUAAUUC